rnacentral:sRNA from 1 species
UGCAUAAGCUUCCGGACAGCGGCAGGCAAGCUUACUUGCCGAGAUGCACAGACAUUGGACGGGGCAACAGAUAUGAGCACAGGUGUAUGCGCCGGAGUGCGAAUGCCUGUCAGGAUUGAGGGAGUGCGAUGUACGGAGCAAUCCGCAAUAUCA